rnacentral:rRNA from 1 species
GAUGAACGCUAGCGGCAGGCCUAAUACAUGCAAGUCGAACGGUGUCUUCGGACAUAGUGGCGCACGGGUGCGUAACACGUAUGCAAGCUACCUUACAUCGGGGGCGAGCCUUUCGAAAGUGAGUUUAAUACCGCUUAAGACAGUAGCUGGGCAUCCAGGAGCUGUAAAAGAUUUAUCGAUGUAAGCUGGGCAUGCGUCCUAUUAGCUAGUUGGUGAGGUAACGGCUCACCAAGGCAAUGAGAGGUAGGAGAACUGAGAGGUCAAGCCCCCACCCUGGAACUGAGAUACGGGCCAGACUCCUACGGGAGGCAGCAAGUGGGAAUAUUGGGCAAUGGACGCGAGUCUGACCCAGCCAUGCCGCGUGCAGGAUGAAGGCGUUAUGCGUUGUAAACUGCUUUUAUACAGGAAGAAACGACUCUUGCGAGAGGCAUUGACGGUACUGUAUGAAUAAGCACCGGCUAACUCCGUGCCAGCCGCCGCAGUAACAC